GUUGAAGCUACUACCCUUGAACCUGUGGAGGCGACUCACUUCUGAAAUGUACUCUUACUCUCUACCUUCAUGCACUGUGUUACACAUUGAUUAAAAUGUGGAAUGUUCUUCAACUCUUGAACGAUAAAGAAAUUCGACUGCGAACUUCCACUGUACUGGUUACUUAUUUGGCUUUUAUAUACAGUUGCACUAUAUCAUCUUUGGAUUGUGAAACGAGGUAUAUAAAGCAGUUCCCUCCUAGCCUUGACUGAUGAAUUCGCAGAAAAUUUGCACGGACGUCUCCUGUCAUGGCAAACACUGACACGUCUCCUAUCAUGCAGAACCACACCAGAUGUCGCGAGUUGUGACAUCACGUGAUCCUGUGGAUGAAAAAUGGAUGUGUGAGUAACGGUGGCGUCACUUAUUUGGCGCCCGCACACUUCUAUGACGAACUUUCAAUCAACGUCUGCUCGCGUGAAGUCGAUCUCCUUGACAUCCAGGUUUCAUGGCAUCGUUUUACUCCACUCCGGGACACAUAACCUGUUUGCAUGUUACUCUUACUUUUAUUGACACCGUCUAAACUAUUGAUGUAUCUUAGCCAGAAACUGCUCAAACUAACAUACAGCUGAAUAUAAGCGCGAGAUAAGAAUAGGUAAUUCUUAUAAACUGAGAAAACUUAAAAGUGAAAAA